UACGUAGGUGGCAAGCGUUGUCCGGAUUUACUUGGGGUGUAAAGGGGGCGCAGGCGGGAAGCUAAGUUGGAUAGUUGAAAUACCGGGGCUCAACUCCGGAAGCUGCAUCCAAAACUGGUUUUCUUGAGUGGAGUAGAGGCAAGCGGAAUUCCGAGUGUAGCGGUGAAAUGCGUAGAUAUUCGGAGGAACACCAGUGGCGAAGGCGGCUUGCUGGGCUCUAACUGACGCUGAGGCCCGAAAGCGUAGGGAGCAAACAGGAUUAGAUACCCCUGUAGUCCCU
rnacentral:rRNA from 1 species